GUGCUUAUUUCACUGUCUAACCCUGCCCAGGCCCCGGGGAGAAGCCUGGUAUUCUUCGUGUUUAUUUAAUUGUCAACUCUCUGUGUUCUAAGACGAUACCCUGGCCUUGACUCAGUACAACCUAGGACUGUAAGUCCCAUCAUGUCUAUGGACUUCAGUUUCCAGACAUGAAACACAAGAGGCUUGGACGAGAUUAGAAAUCAAGAACUCGAAUGCGUAUGGUCAGAGCCACGAGAGUUUCCAUAAAGGAACACAACCAUGUGGACAACUUGAUUAUGCCCUACAAAACUGAAUUCCUGUGAGCAUUCCUCUUCAAGAUGGAAGAAAAAGGGAAUAUUUCACAACCCCAAUGGUGAAACGUCUGCCUAUAGCCAACAAUACAAUCUCCAUCCAUGUAUGAUGUGACUUGCUCCUACAUGCCUUCCACCAUGAUUAUGAGGCCUCCUGAGCCAUGUGGAACUGUAAGUCUGUUAAACCUCUUUUUCUUCCCAGUCUUGGGUAUGUCUUUAUCAGCAGUGUGAAAAUGGACUAAUACAAGAUAUAUUAAAGAAUACUCAACAUCACUAAUCAUCAGGGAAAUGCAAAUCAAAAUUACGAGAUAGCACCUCACUCCAGUCAGAAUGGCUAUGGCUACUAUAAAAAAUUAUGUCACUUUUGAUCUGUAGCCAUUAUAUUUAAAAGUUUCAUCAAUUCUAAGAUGCAUGUUUAUAAAAAAUCAAUCUCUCUGAAAUCAGGAGUAUUUAAUAAUUGGAGACAUUAAAUUAAAGAAAAUGCUAUGUAUCUUAUUAUUUUAAAGACAGCAUCAGAAUUCCCCAGGGGUUAAAUUUGUAACAUCAUGUCCAUGUGUAAUUUUAAAUUUAUCCAAUAAGAAUAAGAUGGUUGAUUGAAGGUGCUUAAUGCUUAUUCCCAUCCUCACAAAAAUGGACCAAAACAGUAAACAAAUAACUACAUUUUGACCAGAGUGACUAAAGGAGAGUGCUGAAGUAUAGCAAGGGAGUGGCAGAAACUCUGUGUGGCAUGGAAACUCAGGAUGGCUUCAUAGAAAAGGGGUUGAAACACCUUGCUUCUGCCAGCCCAUUCCCCGAGUUGGGAUCAACUCAGAAACCAGGAGGGCCUUCUCUCUCUAAGGAAGAGGUAAGCAAGAGGCCCUGAGAGACCCUCAUCACCACCACAGGCAUUUGCAGUCUUCACUACUGGAGAAGCCUACAGUCCUCACAGGCACUGAGUCCAGUUUAGGGAGCUGCCUGGAGUUCAUACAGCUGCAUUACUCCAGGGGAGGAGCCCACAUUGUGCCCUGCUCCUUGUUUUCCAACCUCCUACUGCAAGGUUCCAUUUUCAAACCACAGCCCCUCUUAGAGUGUACCCUGCUCCAGGGACUAGUAGCCAUUGCAUCCCUCCAUCCCAGAGAUUCUGCUGUUAUGGCUUCACAUAGACACACAGUACUGCACCACAUUCUCCAGCUAUACUGCCCAGGAAUCACUCUACCUCCCCCAUCCCUGUUGCUGCUGCACCUCAACCUGCUACUUGAAACCACAGGCCCAGCAAAGAAACUGUGCUCCAAGUGCCCAAACCAAUUCAGUUCCCUGUUCCGCAGGAAUCAGAGCUUCAGCAUAGGGAAGCAGCCAUGACCCCAGCAUCGAAGCCCAUGCUGUGCCUUGCCCUUAGGAGACCAGGUGCUCUCAUCUAGUGGAAAAGCUGUACCUAAGCCUGUGGAGCAGUCAAGGCCCCUCAGCUUUAACCAAUCUGAUUCCCCACCCCCAGGGAAUCGCAGUUUUGGCCCUGAGAGCAGCUGAAAGCCUGACACUCAAGCCCAUAUGGAACCUUGUUCCCUGGAAACCAGAUGCACGUGCCUUUCAGAGUAGCUGUGCCCUCAGCACUUGAAGCAACCCAGUACCUUGCCUCUCUGAAUCAGAGCUUCAGCCCAGGGGAGUAGCUGUGACACUGGCGCUUGAGCCCAUAUAGCAUCAGACCUCUCAGAUAUCCAGAGCCUGGUCCAGAAGAGCUGGACCAGGUACCCCCUGGCACCUGAGUGAUGUGGUGCCUUACACUCAGGGAAACAGAGCCUUGGAUGAGCUGUGCCACCCCACUGUCUGGGCUGAACAGCUGCAGUGGCCUGCUUCCAUGAAUCUGGACUAUCCCACUGAAGUCUGAGUGGUUGAGUUAGGCCAUAAUUACACUGCUUCUUACCCUCUGGAGUUCAAGUCACUGCUGUACCCUGCCAUUCCUGGGUCCUUUCUAUCAUCACACUUGGCAUCACAAAGUUUGAGCCAGUGCUGUAUCCUACCACUCCAGUGUCCAGAGUCACCACUGUGUGGUGUAAUUUCUCCUGUUGCUCGAGUUACCACUGUGCCCUGUUGUAUCUUGGAGCCCAAAUUGCAGCUGUUCCCUGCUUUAAGGAACACAAUAAUGCUCUAGUAACUAACCUCAAAGAAAUGAAAAUCUAUGAAUUAUUUGAAAAGGAAUUUGAAACAAUGCUUUAAGGAUACUCAGUAAGAUACAGGAGAAUACAGAUAGACAAUUUAAUGAAAUUAGAAAAACAAUUCAUAAUAAAAAUGAAAAAUUCAACAAAAAGAUGUUAUAGAAAAGAACCAACAGAGAUCUUGGAGCUGAGGAACACUAUGAAUGAAAUAGAAAAAAACGAUUGAGAGUCACAGUAAAUUACAUAAAGGAGAAGGAAGAAUCUUUGAACUUGAAGACAGGUCUUUCGAAAUCAACUAAUCCAUGGAAAAAAACAAGUUUAAAAAAAGAGUGAAGAAAGCCUAUAGGACUUAUGGGAUACCAUUAAGCAAACAAAGAUUUGCAUUAUGGGAAUUCCAGAGUACAAAGAGAUGGUGAAGGUCACAGAAACAUUAUUUAACAAAAUAAUUAUGGAAAACUUCUCAAGUCUUGGAAGCGAUUUGGGUAUCCAGAUCCAUUUGGCUCAAACCACAAACAGGUUCAACUCAAAGAGGUCCAUAUUGAGGCACAUUAUAAUCAAAAUGUCAAAAGUCAAAGACAAAGAAAAAUUUAAAAGCAACAAGAGAAUAUCAUUAAAUGACAGAGAAGAAAAUCUCCUUUAGUCUAUCCACAGAUUUCUCAGCAGAAACUUUUCAGGCCAGGAGAAAAUGGGAUGAUAUAUUCAAAAUGCUGAAAGAAAAAUCUGCCAGUCAAGAAUACUCUAUCUAGUAAAACUGUCCUACAGAAAUGAAGGAGAAAUAAAGUAUUUCCUAGACAAACAAAAGUUGAGGGAAUUCAUUACCACUAGAACUGCCUUACAUGAUAUGCCUAAGGGAGUGUUUCAACCAGAAAUGAAAGCAUGAUAAUUACUAAUAUGAAAAUGUAUGAAAUAAAACUCAUUGGCAGAGGUAAAUUCAUAAUCAAAUUCAAAAUGCUCUGUGACAGAAAUGGUGGUGGGUAAAUCUUUCAAAUCUCUAGUAUGAAGGUUAAAAGUCAAAAUGGUAAAAAUAAGUAACUAUAGUUACCAUAAGUUGCUAAGGAAUAUACAAUACAAAAGAAUGCAAAUUGUGGUAACCCUAUUAUAAAUCAUAAUGAGGAGGAUAAAAUAUUUGAUGUGACCCAAAUUAAGUUGUUAUCAGCUAAAAAUAGCUUAUUGUAAGUAUAAGAUAUUUUAUGUAAACCCCAUGAUAACUACAAAGCAAAAAACUACAGCACAUACACGAACAAGAAAGAGAAAAAAAAAAAUAAAAAUUAGCACUACAGAAAAUCACCAAAUCACCAAGGUGAACAAUAAGAGAGGAAGAAAGAAAAGUGAUCUAACAAUGUCAACAAAAUGGCAGCAAUAAAUCCUUACCUAUCAUUAAAAAACUUAAAUGUAAAUAGAUUAAACUCUCUUAUUAGAAGACAAAAAAGUGGCUGAAUGGAUUUAAAAAAAGAAGAUGCAACUAUAUUGUGCUUACAAGAGACCAUUUUUGUUUUAAGGAUAAAUAAAGUUUGAAAGUGAGAUAGAAGAAGAUAUUACAGGCCACUAGUAACUAGAAAAAAGCUGAGGUGGUUUUAUUUAUAUCAGUUAAAAUAGACAUUAAGUCAAGAACUGUUAUAACAGACAAAAGGGUCAUUAUUUAAUAAUAAAGGAGUCAACUCAUCAAGAAGACAAUUUAUAAUUUGUAAUCACAAUAUUUACAAUUUUCAUAAUUAUAAAUGUAGAUGCACUCAACAUAAAAUCACAUAAAUAUAUAAAGCGAAUUUUAAUGAACAUGAGGGAAGAAAUAGAUAGCAAUACAAUAAUACUAGGGUACUUUAAUAUCCCACUUUCAAUAAUGGAUAGAUCAGCUGGACAGAAGGUUCACAAGGAAAUUCUGGAACGGAACUGAACUUUACACCAAUUGGACCUUAGAGACACAUAUAGAGUUUUUCAUCUGACAGUAGCAGAAUAUAUAUUCUUCUUUAACAUUCAUGAGAUGUACUUCAGUAUACACCAUAUGUUAGGCCACGAAACAAGUCUUAGCAAAUUAAAAGAUAUUGAAAUUAUAUCUAGUAUUGUCUCCAACCAGAAUAGUACCAUUGUAGUUUCAUAGUGGAAAUCAGCAACAGGAAGAAUCUUGGAAAAUUUACAAAUAUGUGGAAAUUAAACAACAUGCUUCUGAAAAACCAAGGUUAAAGAAAAAAAAUAAGAGAAAACUUAAAAAAUUUCUUGAGACAAAUGGCAAUGGAAGCACAACAUAUCCCAACCUAUGGGAUACAGCAACAGCAAAAGCAAUUCUAAGAGGGAAGUUGAUAGCAAUAAGUGCCUACAUUAAAAAUGAAGAAAUAUCCCCAAAACAUAGCCCAACAUUAUGCUUCAAGGGGCUAGAAAAAGAACAAACUAAACCCAAAGUUAGUAGAAGGAAAUAAA